rnacentral:tRNA from 1 species
UACAAGGUAGCUUAGCAUUUAAAGCCCCCCACCUUCUAUGGGUAGAAGGCGAAAUCGCCCCUUGUCA